rfam:Sorghum bicolor cultivar BTx623 chromosome 9, whole genome shotgun sequence.
AUGGCAUCAAUGAUGUUACAUCCAUAUAUUUACUCAUCCUUGCACUAUGAGCUGCGCGAUGAAGAAAUCAGUGGGGAAAGUUGCCUGAGAUGCUA